rnacentral:rRNA from 1 species
UACGGGGGGGGCAAGCGUUGUUCGGAAUUACUGGGCGUAAAGAGUGUGUAGGCGGUGCUCUAAGUUCGGUGUGAAAUCUCCUGGCUUAACUGGGAGGGUGCGCCGGAAACUGGGGUGCUCGAGCGUGGGAGAGGAAAGCGGAAUUCCUGGUGUAGCGGUGAAAUGCGUAGAUAUCAGGAGGAACACCUGUGGUGUAGACAGCUUUCUGGACCAUUGCUGACGCUGAGACACGAAAGCGUGGGUAGCAAACAGG